AGUGAACGCUGGCGGUAGGCCUAACACAUGCAAGUCGAACGGCAGCACAGUAAGAGCUUGCUCUUACGGGUGGCGAGUGGCGGACGGGUGAGGAAUACAUCGGAAUCUACUUUUUCGUGGGGGAUAACGUAGGGAAACUUACGCUAAUACCGCAUACGACCUACGGGUGAAAGUAGGGGAGCUUCGGACCUUUCGCGAUUGAAUGAGCCGAUGUCGGAUUAGCUAGUUGGCGGGGUAAAGGCCCACCAAGGCGACGAUCCGUAGCUGGUCUGAGAGGAUGAUCAGCCACACUGGAACUGAGACACGGUCCAGACUCCUACGGGAGGCAGCAGUGGGGAAUAUUGGACAAUGGGCGCAAGCCUGAUCCAGCCAUACCGCGUGGGUGAAGAAGGCCUUCGGGUUGUAAAGCCCUUUUGUUGGGAAAGAAAAGCAGCAGGUUAAUACCCCGCUGUUCUGACGGUACCCAAAGAAUAAGCACCGGCUAACUUCGUG
rnacentral:rRNA from 1 species